UACGAAGGGUGCAAACGUUGCUCGGAAUCAUUGGGCGUAAAGCGCACGUAGGCGGCUUUGCAAGUCGGAUGUGAAAUCCCGUGGCUCAACCAUGGACGUGCAUUCGAAACUGCAAAGCUUGAGUAUGGAAGAGGGUCGCGGAAUUCCCGGUGUAGAGGUGAAAUUCGUAGAGAUCGGAAGGAACACCAGUGGCGAAGGCGGCCACCUGGACAGAUACUGACGCUGAGGCGCGAGAGCGUGGGGAGCAAACAGG
rnacentral:rRNA from 1 species